CCUACGGGGGGCUGCAGUGAGGAAUAUUGGUCAAUGGACGGAAGUCUGAACCAGCCAUGCCGCGUGCAGGAAGACGGCUCUAUGAGUUGUAAACUGCUUUUGUACAAGGGUAAACCUGAAUACGUGUCUUCAGCUGAAAGUACUGUACGAAUAAGGAUCGGCUAACUCCGUGCCAGCAGCCGCGGUAAUACGGAGGAUCCAAGCGUUAUCCGGAUUUACUGGGCGUAAAGCGCUCGUAGGCGGGAUGUCAAGUCAAGGGUGAAAUCCCCGCGCUCAACGUGGGAACUGCCUUUGAAACUGGCAAACUGGAGUGGGUGAGAGGAUAGUGGAAUUCCAGGUGUAGGAGUGAAAGCCGUAGAUAUCGGGAGGAACAGCAGUGGCGAAGGCGACUAUCUGGCACAUAACUGACGCUGAGGAGCGAAAGCGUGGGUAGCAAACAGGAUUAGAUACCCUUGUAGUC
rnacentral:rRNA from 1 species